CGGUAAUGUCUCCUAACCGUUAUCAAUGGAGGCACUCGGCCAUGCUGUGGGUGAUCAAAAGCCUUAGACGCGAGUCGUCAGGAGUGUGGUGUGAGGAGGGGUUGAAUGCCCU
rfam:Paenibacillus sp. FSL H8-0548 NODE_10_length_160209_cov_1.62876_ID_11278, whole genome shotgun sequence.